rnacentral:rRNA from 1 species
UACAGAGGUCUCGAGCGUUGUUCGGAUUCAUUGGGCGUAAAGGGCGCGUAGGCGGCGGGGUAAGUCUGGUGUGAAAUCUCGGAGCUCAACUCCGAAAUUGCACUGGAUACUGCUCUGCUAGAGGGCUGGAGAGGAGAUCGGAAUUCACGGUGUAGCAGUGAAAUGCGCAGAUAUCGGGAAGAACACCCGUGGCGAAGGCGGCUCACUGGCCCGAUACUGACGCUGAGGUGCGAAAGCGUGGGGAGCAAACAGG